GAUGAACGCUGGCGGCGUGCCUAAUACAUGCAAGUCGAGCGAACGGACGAGAAGCUUGCUUCUCUGAUGUUAGCGGCGGACGGGUGAGUAACACGUGGAUAACCUACCUAUAAGACUCGGAUAACUUCGGGAAACCGGAGCUAAUACCGGAUAAUAUUUUGAACCUCAUGGUUCAAAAGUGAAAGACGGUCCUGCUGUCACUUAUAGAUGGAUCCGCGCUGCAUUAGCUAGUUGGUAAGGUAACGGCUUACCAAGGCAACGAUGCAUAGCCGACCUGAGAGGGUGAUCGGCCAGACUGGAACUGAGACACGGUCCAGACUCCUACGGGAGGCAGCAGUAGGGAAUCUUCCGCGAUGGGCGAAAGCCUGACGGAGCAAAGCCGCGUGAGUGAUGAAGGUCUUCGGAUCGGAAAACUCUGUUAUUAGGGAAGAACAUAUGUGUAAGUAACUGUGCACAUCUUGACGGUACCUAAUCAGAAAGCCACGGCUAACUACGUG
rnacentral:rRNA from 1 species